GUUGUUACCUAUAUUCAUUAUAAUCAUUCACUUGAAAAAUAGAUUAUAACCACAUUGUAAUUUUUGUAUUGCUUCAGAGAUUCUACCGGGGUAUAUAAUCUGUACAGAAAAAAAUAAAGUGAGCUAGAAGGAAAACAUGAGAGAAGGAAAGAUAUAGAGGAAAAAUAAGAAGCAAAAGAAUAAAGAAAAAAAAGUCAGAAGGAAGCAAUAAUGAAAGCAUGUGUCUUUUCCCAUAUUCUCUCAGAUAAGAAGUACUCCUAUUCCUUGGAUUCUCUUUGAUCCCAGCAGUGCUGGAGGCUGGUCUUCACAGCAGCCGGAGUGCAUGUUCUGGAAUCUAGAGACCUCGGGUAGUCACACUGCUCUAGUUCGCCUGCUGUAGUCUCUCUAUUGGGGUGGCUCUCCUCUGUGCCUACAGCUUUCUCAAUAGAUGAUCUCAUGAUUCCAGCACCUCUGACACCCUGGGGUUUGCAGUGAAACUAUACACUUCUUCAAAGAUUUAUGCAAUGAGACUUUUCAGGGUCUCCUUGCAGGGACUUUCCCCUGCUUCACAUUGCCUGGUCUCUGAUAUUCAGAAUAGUGGAGCAAGAAUCCAUGAACUCCCUCAGUCAUGGAGCCUGAAAAACCAGUAUUACUUGAUGGACAAUGCUGCCAAAUUCCUCUGAUGUCUUGAGAAGCAUCUUAGCCCCCUUGGCCCACAGUUUGCAUUGGCCUCUGUGUACCUCCAUCCUGGGGAAACACCUCUCUACAUGGUUGCUUUCAAGCAGGAACCACUUCUAGUUGCCUUCUUAUUCAAGCCCAUUCUUUGAAAUUAAACUUUCAUUUUCACGUUUGAUGUUUGAGGUGUUGUCCCCAGGGCAGCUGGUCUUUCUUAACAAUAUAGCCAUAGAAGGUAAAUAGGAGAGUCUCUCUAAAAGUUCACAUAGAGGGCACACCUUCCCUUACUGUGCAUGCAGGCAAAACCAAUUCAGUCUGGAUUGACAUAUCCUUCUUGUUAUGUGUUUGAAUAGACACCGGAUGUUAUGAAUAGGUCACAAAGGGACAUAACUUGCUGUCUUUGUUUAAAGCUGCUUGUGCAACCUGAUGAAAGUGGAGGUUCCAGUUUGCCAGCAUGUCACUUCCAGAUUGCCAGCAUGCCACUAAGUGCAUUGUCCAGAGUUGGCUGUGUGUGUAGAAACAAUUUCUAGUGCUAGCAGCAGAACACCUGGCAGGAAUGAAGAGCUGUUAGAAGAUCUGUCAUGGAAUAGGAUCUGAACACCCAGAGUUGUGGUAGAAUAUUAUUUUAAGGUGUGUGACUUUUGUUUAUGCUGCAUUUGUUUAACUCUGUGAGGCUGUGAUUCCUUGCCUAUCUAAAACACCUGAUGGUUUAAUAAAGAGCUGAAUGGCCAGUAGAGAGACAGGAGCAAGGACAGGCAGGGAUGACAGGCAGAAGAGCAUCAAUAGAAAGACAACCAAGGAAGAGGAAGCAGAAGAGAACAAGGAGGACGUC
rnacentral:lncRNA from 1 species